rnacentral:lncRNA from 1 species
AAUAACACUGGCAGGUAAGUACUAUCAUUAUCCCCAUUUUACAGAUGAGGAAACUGAAACAAACAAGAGGUUAAAUGAUUUGCCCAGAAUUAUAAGCAAAUAUUUGUCUAAGACUGGAUUUGAAUUCAGGUCUUCCUGCCUCCAGGUCAUGGACUCUAACCACUGCACCAACUAGCUGCUGAGAAGAAAGCCAUAGCAUUUUGAAGUCCCAUAGUACUUCUAUCUGAUUGUUAAAUGAAUGGCCUGUGUGUAAGAAUAACUUUUAUCAUUCAACUAUAACUCACAUUUACAAACUGUUUUUCUUACAACAAUUCAGUGAUAUAGAAUCAGCAUGAAUUUCAUCAUCUCCAUUUUCCAGAUGAGGAAAAUGAAGCUCAGACACAUCUGAAUUAUAUGGACAUCUAUUGUCAACCAACCAAUUCAGAAGCCUUCAUGUGCAUCUACUGUGUGUCAGGGGAGAUCUCAAGUAACCCAUUGUUACCUUGGUUAAGUAUGACUUCCCUUCAUCCUCAACUUAUUAAAGGCUCGCUCUUGGUAUGAUAAUGGUCAUAGUCUUUAAUGACACAAAAUAAAUCAUUUCUUUCUAUUCUAAGCUUACUGU